rfam:Hordeum vulgare subsp. vulgare, WGS project CAJW01000000 data, contig: morex_contig_138491
UAUAUACUCCCUCCGUCCNNNNNUUCUUGUCUUAUAUUUGUUUAGAUAUGAAUGUAUCUAGUCAUGUUUUACUAUUUUGAUACAUCCAUUUCUAGACAAACCUAAGACAAGAUUUUUAAGACGAAGGGAGUACUAC